UGGCAUCCUGCCAGGAUGCAAUUAAUUAGCACUAAAUGCAGAAAUGCCCCCUCUCCUGCUUAGAGAGGGAAAGAGAACGCACUCUUAAAAGCACUUUUAGGCAUUCUCCUAAAAGCGUGUACAGGCGUGUGAGCCGGGCGGGUCACGAGCACAAUUCCAGCGAGGUUUUUCUCCCUGCAAAGAGACCGUCUCUGCACCAAUGACCCAAGAAGAGGUUUGGAGCCAGUGGAAAUGCAGCACAGGAGUGUUUCGUGCUUUGUGCGUGGAAGGAUGCUUGAAGUGGCGCCGGAGCUGGAGCAACGCAUCCAGAGACACCAGCUCCCAGGGGAAAAGGAGGCUGCAGUGGUGCCAGCAGAACCAUCCGGGCAUACCUUGGCCAGGUGGACCUCGGCUUUUGUUGUAAAGUUCCUGCCCUCUCGACUUGGGAGGUAAGGAGAGACGAAGAGCCCAGCACCUGUCCAGCUCAGCGGCCUCCCUUCAGUUGCCUCCGCAAAGCUCGUGCCUGGCUGGCCGGGGUCCCACGGUGGCUCACCUCCCACAUCCAGGAGUGAGGGACGCCGCCCCCCAGAACGGAGGUUCCUUUGGGCUGGCCACAGCUGAUGUACAGCGACACGUUUCUUUCUCCAAAUUAGCCCCAGAAACAACUGCGGAGCUAGUGGCGAUUGUCACAUCGAUUUUGCAAACAACUCACGCGUCGUAUGGUUUUGUGCAAAGCCGGGGGGGAGGCAGCGGCUGGGGCUGGCCGUGCCCCCUGGUCUUUCCCCGCCCCUUGAGCUGUCGGAAGAGCUGGAGGCUUCCCCUUGUGGAACAGAGGCAGCUGGACCUGUGGAUUGUGCAAAAGCACCCCGAUGAAUUUUGGAUGGCGGAUUUAAUAAGACAAAAGCAAUGACAGCUUGGCACGCCAGCUUUCCUUCACCACGAGCUGCCUGCUCGAUCUCUCCCAGCGCAGUCUGCCAUAACAGCCUGCCGUGGUGUUGACUCCAGGUCCCAUCAUUCCCAGCCAAUGAUGGGAGGUGCACGCCAACAAGUCCAGAGGGCACCACGUUGGGGAAGGCUGUUCUAGAAGACGGUUGGACAACGCGUGUCCUUCCAAGUGUUUCGGCCAAUCACUUUGCCUCAUCCUUCGUACCUAUGUCCUCUUUUCUGUAUCCUUCUCAAAACCUGCUCUGGCUUAUCCUGAAAUGUCAGAGCUGGGCAUCUUGCUCGGGGUGAGGUUGGAUCGCUGCAGGGAAAAGUGGAACCAUUAGGCCUCAUGACCUGAAAACUGUGACUCUAGAAAAGCGGGCUAAAACCGCAGUGGCCCCAGCUGGUCUCACUGGGCUCGCGAUGGGCUGCCAUCUCCAAGCCACGCCGUCUUUUGUCCGAAGCCUGCAUAUUUUAAUGGACUAAGUGCAACCUUUUGCUGUGUGUCAUUCUGCUCAUUUGGACUCCGUCUGUCGUUCGGUCUCUCAGCCAUUUUGAAUGAUAUUCUGAUCUGAGAUGUGAGCCACUCCUGCUGUAUUUUCUGUCCUCUGCAAAUUCCCUUCAGCCCUCAUCUAAGCCACUGAAAAGUGCCAUGCCCAGGACAAACUCGACUCCGACUGGCAUUAAUGGGUUUGCUCACUGGAAAAGGUCAGCUGCUUUGCUGCAACAGGUGGCCAUGGGGUCAAGAGCUACGCAUCUGGGGCUCCUGCCAGUGUGCCCCUGCUGGGGUGUGUGUCCCCAGCAUGUUUCCACCCAUGCCAAGCCUCGUUGCCAGCCCUGGGCAGGGUAUCCUCUUUCAAAGAAGGGCAUCUUUUGCCCAGCUGCUCGAAACCCUCCAAGAUGAGCCAAGCCAAGGCAUCAGCCGGCUAGAAAAGAAGCGGAUUUUCCUCUUUGGGUGAAGCACUGGAGAACAUUCACCGCAAUCCCAGAUUUCGGCUGCGUUACUUGCCAGCGGCUUGGUUUGGGAGCUAGGCUUGGCGGGCGUUCGGCCUUCCUCGCCGCCAGCCGUUUCUCACCCAGCCCAGAGGGAGGUGGUGUAGCCUUAUUCAAAAACUGAAAUAAAGUGGGGUGGAGGAGCUCCCCCUGUCAGGAGCUGCCUGUGGAAUCGCCAUCCGCAUGUUUCCUUGCAGGAUGAAAGAAGCCAAGCUUCUUUCUGUUGGUGUCCUGCCCUUGCCAGCCAGUGAAUCUUUCCAAGCUCUUCAGGAAGAUGAGGCAUGUGUGUUAGAUGUGCGGCUGACCUGGGGGGGGGGGGGUUGGCACUUGCUGGGGGACAACAGAACCCUAAAUCAACUCAGCCCAAACGCCACUCAGCCAACCGGCUGCGUUUUAAUUAACUCGGCUGCUUAUUGCUGGCAAUCCAUCAGGCCUGCGGUUGCCACGCUGUGACCUUGGACAGCUAGAGGGGUGCCCCAAGCAUCACCCGGAGCCACUGCCAAAGCUUAAAACCCUCCCCCUUAAAACCUUAAAACCCCAUCACCUCCUGCUCCCUGCUUUGAAAGUCCCCACAAUACAGCGGAGCCACGCAAACGCUUGUUUAACAGCUUUUUUCCAGCAGAGCCAUUUUGUAUUCUUUUGGGGUCCGCACAAGCAAAGCCCGAACCUAUUCCACUCCCAUGCCAUCCUUUCCAAAGCACAGUUGCCGGCAUGUUCCCAGCCUGCCGUGCAUCUCCUCAAAACGGGGUCACCGAGCCCCGCUGCUUGGCGGGGGCAAAAUCCACCCAACCUGCUGGAGAAAGAAGUGUGCUUAUCCCCUCUCCGGUUUAUUUAAAGUAUUUGUAACGUGCCCUCUGUCAAAAUGGUGAGCAAAAAUACCAGCUUGCCUUAGCCUAGAGCUCUGGCCAUCAGUAAAUCGCUUCAUGAGAGACACUUCUGCCCCUUGGAAUGAGCGCUGGGGACACCCACGCAAAAGCUGGGAAAGCAUGGGCUAUUGGGGUGAGGGGAAGGACGCAGCAGUCUUGGGACCCCUGCGCACCCUCACACGAGCGAAUGUACAAGAGCCAAGCGUGCCAAGCCGAACCAUGUCUGUAGCAUGCAGACUUCCCCGUUACUGCUUUUUCCUCGUUCACUGUCAGCCUUCAACGGGGGAUGCGGCCAGCCUGGGCUCAGGGGUUUUCUAAUUUAUUUGCAAGCGCAACUGUAAAAACCAAUAAACCACCCAGCCAGUGGCAA